AGGACAACAGUUGAAAGCAACCCUCUGCAUGUGCUUACCAUCAGCGGGCCCGUUUUUCUAGCUGUGGACACCUUUUUACUGCUAGGGGGUCUGCUUAGUGCGAGGUCUCUGCUGGGCUCCAUAAACAAGGCUGAUGACAAUUUGAGUCCGAGUUUGGUAGCUAACUACCUCCUCAGGAGGAUUACAAGGAUUCAACCACUGCAUAUGUUUGUUAUGUGUCUAACGAUUGGCCUCAUCUCACUGAUCCAGUGGGGACCCUACUGGUUCCCAUUUAUAGAUACACUGAUGGAUUGUAAGACAUACUGGUGGGCUAACUUAUUUUUGAUAAGCAAUC